UUUCCUUUCAUGUUGUAGGUAAGUGUAUACUUAUACAUAGCGAACGGUAAAGUAGAAAAAUCACCAUUUUCAACAUGGUAAAUUGUCACCCAAACCAAAAAAUGAGAUAAAAAUAAUUAAUACGACAUUACUAUUGUCAAAAUGAAACCGAGCAACGACUGGAAAAUCAACAAGUGACACUUAUAACAUUCUCAAUAAUUGCAAGCACCAAAACUGGUCGCGCGCAGUACAGCGAUCGAAAUUCAAGUUCGAAACAAAAAGUGGACCAGUAUGUUCUUUCUUGCUCGUGCGCAUCGUCGGCGCGCGAGUGCGAGCAGGAGGGGUGUAGUCUGCUCUCGCGCCCACAUUUGGAGCCUUGGAGGUCGGUACGUUGAACUCUAGAUGAGACGGCGGCGGCGCCGAGAGACAUAUAUCUAUCCCUUUCUCCCGAACACGACUCUACUUGUCUUUACACCAGCAGUCUCGGCAAGCGGAUGACAUUUUUUAAAAUGCAAUAAAAUCAUCCAAUUUUCGAACUUUUCACCAAAAUUUUUGUGCAAUCGUGUUUAGUGAGGAUUUAUCUUUGUGUGUGAGGAGUUUAGUGCGAAUUGAUGUCAAGGAAACGGAGAAAAAAGUUACGAAAUAUGAGACGAAUAAUAAAUUAUUGAUAUUACUUAAGAAACACAACUGCUGUUGAUGCUGGGAAUCCAUAAAGAGUCAUCUCGGAAAACAUGGGAGGUGAUGAGAGUCAAAAUGAUGGAAGAGAGGAGAGUGAGAAGAAAAGGGGGAUAUGAAAAGAGGGAUUUAAACAUAGCUGGCUUGGAGUGGAUAUACAGUCAUGAGUAAUAUAAUAUACCCACUUUAGAACCCUGUCGCACUAUCAUAUUUGACUUUUUUU